GUUACAGGGACCAUAUGAACAACAAACAUGGACAGAGAUUUUUUUAUUAGCUCUCAUGCAAUCAAUGUAAUAAACCUCAUUUGGUAAUUUCAGGUUUGAACUGGUGCCCUGCAGCAUGCCAGCCAGCAAUACUAACCACUACAUCACUAGUGUGUGCAUCGCAGUACAUGGCAAUAUGGAGGCAAAUGUACUGAGCCUCAGCCAGACAGUACAGUCCUACAUCUAAAUCUACAUCUGUAACCUGCAAACCACUGUGAAGUGCACAUCAAGUGAUACUUCCCAUUCAAGUGCACCCAGACUCUCAGCAAAAGGAAAAAGGCAACCAGCCAAUAAGUAAAAAUCCACCCACAGACUAGAAGGAGCUGUCCAGGCGGAAUGAUUUCAGGUUACAUUUAAAACUUACUUUGAUGCCUGUCAAACAUUUAAUGUUACUGGAAAAAAGAUAAAAAAUUUUGCUCAUUGCAUAUUGAACUCCUUUCUGAGCCACUGGCAUAUUUGAUAAUUUAUA